ACGACCUUACUAGAACAGGAUAUGUUCUAUAGGAUCAUACCUCUGUAUCUUUGAGUUCUAAGGAGACAGGAAACUAAGUCUGGUGGAUGAAUUACGACCAUGUUAUAUUAUAUACU
rnacentral:snoRNA from 1 species